rnacentral:lncRNA from 1 species
AUGACUUCACAAAAGUUAACAAAAGGACUGAAUGAACCAGCUAAUAUGCUUAUAACUUUAAUGGUUUCUACCUAAAAAAUUACGGGUUUUCAGGGAGCAGGGAAAACCUUCCUCUCAAACUAAUUAUGACAAUACUUUGGUAAAAUUAAACAUUAUAAACAAAACAACUAUAUUUUCUCUCUAUCUGACUCCUCCAAAAAUUGGAAAUUCUUAGGUUUCCAGUAAGUUUAUCAAAUGAGUUAGGAAGGUUAUCUUAUGGAUACAAAAAUCUCAAUAAGUUUUUGAGAUCUUAAAAAGGGAAGAAUUCACCUAGAUUUGUUAGGCAAAACCUGUGAUAAGCCUUUGGUGUGAGUUUCCCAGCCCUGUUUUAUUUUAAAAGUUCAGUCUGAGACUCUAUAAAUGUUUCAGCAAAAUAAAAAGCCUAUAAUCAAUUAUGGUUAUAAAAAUCAUCAGACCAAAAUCAGUGAGAACAGACCUAUUUUGCAAACAAACUAGCCUUAAUUUGGUUAUAUUUAAUAAAAAUAAGGGUAACUUUAAGGAGAAAAAGAUAUUUCAAAAUGUUAAAUACCAGUUUGUUAAUGGAGGUCUGUAUCUAGUAAGACUCAUCUCAUAGAUAGUUCUUUGCUGUUAUGUGAUAUUAAUGUAAAAUUUAAUUGAAUUCUUAGAGAACACCCUAAGUUUGUUUCUGAAGCUCAUCUCAGUAAUCUAUCUUUGGAUGAAGAUCAGAUGCCUUAUAACCUGCAACCAGGACUGGAAAAAGACAUAAUUUAAGGGACUGUCUCCAACAUGGAUGGAAGGACUUUUUUUAUCAGGAGAAGCUACACUACACCAGGAUGAGAAGACGACAACAUCAGAGGGAGACAGCUUCCCCGAGAUGCUGGACCCGAUUCGUAUGAUCUUUUAUGGUUUCUUGACUUCUUAGACCUUUGCAUAUAAGUCAAGUACUUUUCUAUCAUAGGCCUGGUUCUAUGCUAAUUUUAGAAAUCAAUCCAAUUGUUGGGUUUGUGGCCUAUUAUCUGUGUCUAGUUCUGGGUUACCUUGGUAAAUUUCUCUACUACAAGACUCUUACUGGUUGGCCCUGAGAAAAUUUACUUAAAAAAAAAUUAUAGUCAUAUUUAGGUCACUGUGAUAUUACUAGAUGAGAUCCCCACAGCAGGCCAAUUAAUAAUGCCUGCUCUGACUCUGGCCAUACAUUUGAGCUUUUUUCUAUUACUCAAGCUCAAUCAGAGCAAUAAGAAAAGUUUCAGCAAAGAGGAAAAAAUCUCCCACAAUUAUGGGAUGGAUUUAUAUAGAUAACACCAGGCUAUGGUAAUUUAGGUUUAAAGUCUCCUCUCUGUUGGAAAGAAUGAAAUUAUACUAAGGAUAAUCAGUCUAGCAACACUAAAAAACUGGGCUGUGUGCCUUAUAAACAGUGGUGCCAAUAUAUAAUUUCCCUGGAAGAUAAAGAUUCUACAGAGCAGACUAAGUUUGAGAUAUACUGGGCUACAUCUAGUGCAAGCUCUUAAGUCUUACUUGUGACUUUACUAAUACUGCUGGCUAUGUUCUUUGCAUUUCACCUGUUUUACAAAAUUGCUGUUUCUUACACUGUCAAAUGUGUGUGUGUGAGGCCUCUAAUAGAAUAAUAUAUAGCCCCAUAUGAGAUCGAUGAUGGUAACAGUGUAACUCUAGAUAUGGGAAGAAGCAACAAGAGGGAAUAUUUUCCUGGACCAAGAGGCUAGUAAGACAAGUGGUCCAGAGAAUUUUGGAUGCUGUUUUAUGGCCUAGUCCAGUAACAGCACAUUGAGUGUCCUGUCAACAAAAUCUUUGUCAAACCUGAGAAUGGACAUUCUCAGCACCAUGGGAUAAAAUGGUCAUGAAAUGCCCCCCUCAAAAUCAUGGUCAAGUUUAUGAGCAAAAAGGGGCUCUGCCAACUGAAGACUGACACUCACCAUCUGCAUCUACAAAGAUUAAAUCAUGGCCGCUGCAACUGCUGACU